AUUGAACGCUGGCGGCAUGCUUUACACAUGCAAGUCGAACGGCAGCUCGGUCUUCGGUCUGUCGGCUAGUGUCGAACGGGUGAGUAAUGCAUCGUAACUUGCCCAGUAGUGGGGUAUCGCCCGGCGAAAGCCGGAUUAAUACCGCAUACGAUCUUAGCGUGUAACCGUGUGUCCCACAUGCCUCGCGCUUUUGGAGCGCCCUCUGUCGGAUUAGCUAGUUGGUGGGGUAAAGGCUUACCAAGGCGACGAUCCGUAGCUGGUCUGAGAGGACGACCAGCCACACUGGGACUGAGACACGGCCCAGACUCCUACGGGAGGCAGCAGUGGGGAAUUUUGGACAAUGGGGGAAAGCCUGACCGAGCAAUGCCGCGUGAGGGAAGAAGGCCUUCGGAUUGUAAACCGCUGUUGUUAGGGAAGAAAAACGAUGGGAGAAAACGAAGGGGGGAUGACGGUACCGGAAGAAUAAGCAACGGCUAACUACGUG
rnacentral:rRNA from 1 species